rnacentral:lncRNA from 12 species
GAUGUCUUUUGUAGUUGUUGUUGGUUGAAGAGGUUAUUUUUAAAAUUUCUCAUCCAAAAAAUUAAGUUACCCCCCCCCCCAUUUUCUAUUCCUGAGGUAUCCUAUAGAAAAUAAUUCAGUGUUUGGGACUUACUCAGUUUUUGUAGAACAAGUAAAUAUUGCUUAAAUAUACAAAUAUAUAUGUAACAGGAAUAUUCUGAGUUAGUAUUUACAAAGAUGGUAACUUCAAGUCCUAUAAGGGAUUGAGAUGAUUAUGUGCACACGCACUAUAUGAAAAUAUAUAUUAUUUGAAGGGCAGAAAGAAAUAUAAACUCACAGAAACUUCCCUGGUAUCAAGCGACAGUUCUGAAAAUGGGCAAAAAGAUACAAGAUGAGGAGGGGAGGUUACUUAGUGUUCACUUAACAUGUAGAAACAGCGAGAACUAAAGAGUCCAUUGAGUGCUUUCUGCAACAGAACAAUGUAGCAUUCUAGACGCUGUGACAUCAUUUUUUAAAAAUAGCUGCUUUCACCAACAGAUAGCAGUUUAUAAUGAAAACGUUUUUUCAUUUCUUUUGGGAAGAGGGAGAGGAGAGUUGGGGGAAGAGGAAGACUAGUGACUAUGUGAGAUAAAUGUGCUAAUUGUCCCCCCGUCUCCAUGUAAAUAGAAAUGUAACUGGCACGGAGCUGCAGAGUCACGUGCACAUUCUCUCAUGAAAAUAUUAAGCCAAUAGUUCAUUUGAUUGUUUGGCUUUAUGACGAGUAAGUCAUUAACAUGAUGCAUUUUAUUAUUGGCCUACUUUGAGCAGAUUAGAAACAUUCAAUGGUAACAAGGACAAGAAUCUCCCUGGAUGCCUUCAGGAUGACUUUGAUGAGGAUGUUGAAAAAUUUACCAACAGCAACUCCAUGCUAGACAUCAUGCCAGACACUGGGCUGCAAAGACGAGUCAGUAUUCACCUCUGACGGUAGGAACUUAUGGUCUAGCUGGUGGAGACCCACGUAGGAGGGCAAAGAACAUUUCCAUAUUUGGGAGGACUGCAUAGGGCACAAGUGGACUCAGAGGAGAGUGGUUAAUUCUGUGCAUUACAGGAGUGAGGACAUGAGGAAGGGUUUCAGGAAAGUGCUGGUGCUUGAGCGAAUCAUCAGAAGUGUCCCUGUUUGAACUUGUGUUUGUUUGUUUGUU